rnacentral:tRNA from 1 species
GCAAAUAUAGUUUCAACACAAACAUUAGACUGUGAUUCUAAAAAUAGAAGUUAAAAUCUUCUUAUUCGCC